rnacentral:tRNA from 1 species
GCGCCUGUAGCUCAGUGGAUAGAGCGUCUGUUUCCUAAGCAGAAAGUCAUAGGUUAGACCCCUACCUGGCGCG